rnacentral:lncRNA from 1 species
UACAGGUGUCCUAAUGCCACCGUGAGGCAGAGGGUACAGAGGACAGUGUGAAGCCCAGAGCAUGGUGCUGUGCCUGGCCACGAGCUCUGUGGGGACUGCUGCCAUCAGGACUGCGACCACUUGGAGAGUCUGCUCUGCCCAGAUAUUUUGGGUGCCACCUGUGUGUUUCACUAUAAUUCUGAGCUGGAGCUUGCAGAAGCGGCGGCUGGGCCUGACCUCUGUGUUAUGGAGCGGGAGAGCCGCAGAGGUGGCCUGAGUGUUCCUCUGCGGCAGCCCUGCCCUCACCUCACGGCUGGACUCCGCCAGGGUGGGGACGGCUCCGAGGGGUGGCACCUGCCUGUCUGCAGCAGCCCUGGAGGUCCACCGCUCGGACGGUGCCCCCUGGAGGCGCCGACAGAGGCAGCUCGGAAGCCCACCUGCCAGUGCGCUUGGCAGCCUCCCGGGGCUGCGGUGUGGCGGCGGCGGCGGACUCCCUAUCCAGGGAUGACAACGGGGACAACCUUAGAGCAUCGCUCAGCACUCAUGAGUAAAAGCCUCGCCUGGCUGGUGUCCAGCGCUGGGAAUCGCGCCAGGAUGGACGUUUCCACCUGGGAGGCUUCCUGCAGCUAG